CAGGAUUGGAGGUGCUCUCUGGAGUGUCA
rnacentral:piRNA from 1 species